ensembl:lncRNA
GCCGUUGCGCUGCUGUGCCUGACCUACACGGGAGACGCACAGCGACAGCACCAACGAGGCCGACUGGAGGAGGGAGUGGGAAGGGGAAGUCCUGCUGAGCCACAACACCAACCUCAGUGGAGGAGUGGGCUUCCUCUUCUCCAGGUCUUUUAAGCCAAUCUCCCUGGAGGUCAAACACAUCAUCGAGGGGAGGUUGUUUUUAGUCAAGGCACGGUUCGACCUUUUUACUGUUGUUUUUAUCAAUGUGUAUGCUCCAACAAUCGGUACAGAGAGGAAGCUUUUUUUAACAAAAGUUAAUGAUCUUUUAGAUGGCUGUGCCCCGGAGGAUUUUUUAUUCUUGGGGGGGGAUUUUAACUGCACAGAAGAUGCGGCCAUAGACCGCAACCACGCAGAGCCACAUCCAGCUUCCCAGCACGCUCUGAGGCAGCUGGUCCGGUCUCAUGGCCUGGUGGAUGUGUGGAGAAGGAUGCAUGCAGACUGCCGACAGUACACGUGGUCCCACCUCAGAGAAGGUAGAAUCUCCUCAGCCAGGCUUGAUCGGUUUUAUGUUUUUAAGCACCAUUUUAAUAUUUUCAAAAUGUGUACCAUUGUACCGGCUGUUUUUUCAGAUCAUUCCCUGCUAGUGUGUAAUGUUUUUAUUAGGAACAUUUUGCCAAAAAGCGCGUACUGGCAUUUUAACUCCGGUUUAACAUUUGAUAGGAAUUUUAGAGCGGUCCUUUCAUAUUUUUGG